rnacentral:rRNA from 1 species
AAUGUAGGAGACGAGCGUUAUCCGGAUUUACUGGGCGUAAAGCGUGUGCAGGCGGUUCGGCAAGUUGGAUGUGAAAUCUCCCGGCUCAACUGGGAGGGGUCGUUCAAUACUACCGAACUUGAGGACAUCAGAGGAAGGUGGAAUUCCGGGUGUAGUGGUGAAAUGCGUAGAUAUCCGGAGGAACACCAGUGGCGAAGGCGGCCUUCUGGGGUGUUUCUGACGCUCAUACACGAAAGCUAGGGGAGCGAACGGG